rnacentral:rRNA from 1 species
CCUGCUCGGUGAUUAAAUAUUUAACAGCUGCGGUAUUAUAACUGUACUAAGGUAGCAUAAUAAUUUGCUCUAUAAAUUGGGGCUAGAAUGAAUGGUUUGACGAAAAUUUGACUGUCUCUAUUUUAUUUAUUAGAAAUUAAUUUUUGUAGUGAGAAAGCUUAAAUUGUUUAAAGGGACGAAAAGACCCUAUUGAGCUUAUAUUAUUUUAUAAAUUAUAUGAUUGUUGUUUAUUUAGAAUAAUUUUGAUUGGGGUGAUCAAGGAAUAAGAUUGUUUAAAUUAACUUCCUUAAUUAAUUUGUUUUGUGGAAAAAUAAACCAAAUUUUUUGCUUAGAAGAUAAGUUACCAUAGGGAUAACAGCGUAAUUUUUUUUGAGAGUUCAUAUUGAAAAAAGAGAUUGCGACCUCGAUGUUGGAUUAAAAUUAACCUUAAGGUGAAGAGGCUUUAUUAGGUAAAUCUGUUCGAUUUUUAAAA